AUUGAACGCUGGCGGCAGGCCUAACACAUGCAAGUCGAACGAGUGGCGGACGGGUGAGUAAUGUCUGGGAAACUGCCUGAUGGAGGGGGAUAACUACUGGAAACGGUAGCUAAUACCGCAUACCAUCAGAUGUGCCCAGAUGGGAUUAGCUUGUUGGUGGGGUAACGGCUCACCAAGGCGACGAUCCCUAGCUGGUCUGAGAGGAUGACCAGCAACGUAGGGACUGAGAUACGGCCCAGGGUCCUACGGGGGGGGGAAGUGGGGGAUAUGGGAGAAUGGGCGAAAGCCUGAUGCAGCGACGCGGCGUGGGGGAUGAGGGCUUUCGGGUUGUAAACGUGUUUCGGUAGCGAACGGGUAGGUGGAGAAGAAGCGCCGGCUAACUACGUGCCAGCCGCCGCGGUAAUUC
rnacentral:rRNA from 1 species